UGUGUCAAGCAGCCCAGCAGAGAGCUGGGGGCCCCGGGGCAGUGAAGGGAAAAGACCGUGAAGGAACUGCAAACCCAGGUCCUUCGUGGUCCUUGGGGGCAGCACAUGAAGCAGGGCUGUGGGGGCCUGAGGCCCAGAUCUGCCCCCCACCCCCUGCCUCAGGUCCUCCUUUGUCUGAAGGGUCUGAGGACCAGGUUUUGCCAUCACACAAGUGUACUGGCAAAGUUCCUGGACCCCUUGCUGUCUUCAUGAACCAGAUAAAACCAAUGGGUGUUUAGGUGAGCAGACUGAGGCAGAGCGAGAGAACACAUCCUCUUCAUUGCUCUUCAGACACUCCAUCAACUUGCAGCAGAUUCUGAGACAUGAUGGACAGGGUCCUCAAGGUCUUCCGGCUCCCAACGCUACCUCGUGUCCUGCGGAGGAGAGCUGGUGGUCAGGGCUGGUGAUCGUCAUCGCGGUAUGCUGUGCCUCCUUGCUAUUUCUCACUGUGCUUGUCAUCAUCUGCUACAAAGCCAUCAAGAGGAAACCCCUGAGAAAAGAGGAGAACGGCACUGGCGUUGCUGAGUACCCUAUGACUUCCUCGCAAAGCAGCAAAGGGGUGGAUGCGAACAGCGCCGUGGUGUGAGUCCGUAGGCCCUGGACUGCUGGCCAGAGGGACACCUUGGUGGCACUGGUGGACGUGGGAAAGCGGGUGGACACGAGCUGACACUGGGCUUGCCCAGGACUUCAUCGCCUUGCAGGCUUCGAGCCUCCCAAAGAAGAAAGCCUCCUUUGCCCAGCCUCGCCCCUUGGGCAGCCCACGGCGUGGAUGCUGCGGACACCAGGCUGAGCCAGGCUCACCGGCGGGCGGCCUCCAGGGUAGCGCUGCCAUCUGAGGCCCCGUGUCUCUUCCUCCUCUUGUGUCUGAUCCACGGACAGCCCCCCGGCUGGUGCCUAAAGCACACACCCUGAGAAGGCCGGGAGCCUGUCUGCCGGGGCGAAGAGGUGCCCCCGCCCCUUUCGCCUAAAGGAGACCUCCCCUCCCCACCAGGAAGCCCGCCUGCUUCUUCCCUGACCACGCCAUUCCCAACAGAAGCCAUGGGCGCAGCCACGAGACGUCCCCGUUCAAAGGUGCUCCCACCCAUCUUCCCGCCGCCCCGUCAUUGUCUCAGUCUUCAGGGCCUGCCUUCUCCCUCCCAUCUCCAUCACACCCAGGGCCCCUGGCUCCUGACUCCCCGCCACAGGGGGCUGUGCGCCCCACCUGCGGAGUCCGGACUGAGCCGAGGAGCCCGGUCACACCCCCGGGUGGGGUCUGACCGUCCAGGGCAAAACAACGCCCCGAACCCCAGGUCUGGGGCCCUGGAAGGAUGGGGGCCACUACACCUGUCCUCAGACUCACUCCCACAUCUGACCCUCAGAGGAGCCGACGCUUCCCUGUGAGCCAGGCCCUGCCUGCCCCCCCGGCAGAGGCCACCCCCGUGCCAAACCCACCAUCGGCGCUCCGGCCUGGACCCACCGGCCUGGUGCUGGGCCCCUGAACACUCCCUGAGGCCUGGUACUCAGAGCCUCUCCGGAGAGCCCCAGGCCUGCCGUCAUCCCGAGGGAGCCCGCAUGCUUCUAUGGGCGCCUUGAAUGUCCCCUGUGCUCUGAAAGUGCUGAGUCCUCCGGAGUGGUUGGUGGACGAAGGGAAGGAAAGGAGAUGGGAAGAGAGGGACCCUCUAGGCCUGGUGACCCCCAUCUACUGGCCAAGUGACCCCCACCUGCCAGCCUGUUUCGCCGGCAGCCAGUCACCCUGUGGGCACAUCACUGCCCACAGCAGCCUUGCGGUUUUGCACUCCCGGAGGGCUGGGAGAACACUGCUGGGGCCCUGGCUCCCUCACCCUCCACGCACUUGCUGAGAGGAACCCAUCACAGCCAGGGGCUCCGCUCUCUGGCUAUGUAGGGUCCGAGCCGGGGACCCUGCCUGCCUCCCAGACCACAAGUGUCAGUUGUUCUCUGGAGGGCGUUUGGGCCACAGGUGAGACUCACAUCCAGGGGAGACUGACAGACUGGAAACCAAUCCCCGUUUGGGCUGAACCUUGAAACAUCCAUCGCCCGGGAGCCCUGGUGCCCACGGAGGCGUCUGCGUGCCGAGAGCAGGGGAGAAGGUGAACGCGCCGUGACCUUGGCCCAGGUCCUGUCGCCAGGUCAGUGGGUGCAGGCUGAGGCCAGGCCCCGGGCAGAGCGUCCCAGGGAGGCUCUUCCCCCUCUCAGUGCUCCCCGCGUGAGGACUGGCUUGGCUCUGGACCGGCUUCUGUUCUCCCUGUGUGCCUUAGCGCGGGGCCCCCGUGGCCUUCCUCCCUGCCCCACCCAGUAGGUACUUGACGGUUCGUGCCCUCCACUUGCCAAGGAUGCUGAGCUGAGUGACAAGCAGGCCAGAGGCUGUGGGCCCCUCAGCAGGACAGACCCCGUCCCAGCGUGCUUUCCUCACUGCCUGUGGCUCCUGCUGAUCCCCUGCCCGUCCCCUGAGCAGACACCCAGGCAGGACCCCAGCCCGACGCACACACUUUCCUGGUCCAGGAGUGAUGGGAGAGCAUCUGUGACCAGAGGGAAGAAUCCUGGCUGAGUGGUCGUGGAGUCCUGGGCAGUCAGUCUGGGGGGGACAUGGAAGGAAGCAGGGCACACUCCAGCUCUUGCAAAAGCCUGUUGAUCCCACCUUCCACAGCCUGGGCUUAAACCUGAGUGGCUCAGAUUUUGCAAUUAACUUAAUCCUCCAGCCCCAGCCAGGCUCCCCAUCAGGAUCCCCAGAAAACCAUCAGUCCUUCACUCUGGAGCCAGUAUCCACUUCCCUGGGGACACAUAGCCCAGGCUCCGUGAAAAGCUAACGUUUGCACAUAAAUUCCCCCAAAUUGGGUUUGUCAAAUCUCUUCUCGCCCAGUUAGUGAAAACUAAGAAAAGACCCCAGUUUUUAAAAGAGAAUUCACUUGAGAACAAACCCAGAACCGGUCAUUUGGAAGACAGCCCUCACGGGUGCAAGGAGAGAGCCCCCCGUGGAUUUUCAGCUUAAGCAACAGAAGAUCCAUAAAACCACCCAGCCUGGUAUUUGAGCUUAAACUUAAAUUUCAGGCAUAUAUCUUCAGCCCUUAAACACGGACCAAUCCUCAGGCUACUCUGAACCUUUGAGAACGACAGGCACAUUCCUUUUCUGCAUUUUCUCAAAUAGAUAUUUUUCGACCGUCUCCUGUCAAGCCCAGCUUUAGAAUGGCAUAUAGGAUCUUCCAGAGGUUUCAGGUGUUCCUUAGAUGCUUCUAAAGCAAGUUUUGGAAGAAAGACUAAUAGCUGUAAAAAUAGACAUAUAUAUUAUAUAUAGUUAUAUAUAUUUAAAGAGAUAUCUAUCUAUAUAUAUAUAAUUACAGUACUCUCUGAAUCUGUACAAAGUAUGAUUUCAACAGCCCAGGUAGUGUGCGAUAUCUAAUGCAUGAAUGUAAAUACCCUGAGACCUGCCUUCCUCACGGUUGCUAAGAGCGCACGGGAAGAUGGCUCCUGUUCCCAGUUCUGUCUCAAUGGACCAAUACACACGUCGGUGCCCUCCUGUCCACCAACGAGCCUCUGAUGUCGACUCUGUUCUGAGAUGUUGUGUAGGAAGCAGGACAGGCAGCGUGAGGGGUGGGCUACAUGCUACUUAGAGGAAGAAAGCACCAUGCCUUUUUAUUUUCAAUAAAAAUAUACUUAU